rnacentral:rRNA from 1 species
UACGUAGGGUGCAAGCGUUAAUCGGAAUUACUGGGCGUAAAGCGUGCGCAGGCGGUUAUGUAAGACAGUUGUGAAAUCCCCGGGCUCAACCUGGGAACUGCAUCUGUGACUGCAUAGCUAGAGUACUGGAGAGGAGAUUGGAAUUUACGGUGUAGCAGUGAAAUGCGUAGAUAUCGUAAGGAAGACCAGUGGCGAAGGCGAAUCUCUGGACAGUUACUGACACUGAGGCUCGAAGGCCAGGGGAGCAAACGGG